rnacentral:rRNA from 1 species
CAUAUCAAUAAGCGGAGGAAAAGAAACUAACAAGGAUUCCCCUAGUAACUGCGAGUGAAGCGGGAAAAGCUCAAAUUUAAAAUCUGUCAGCCUUUGGCUGUCCGAGUUGUAAUCUAGAGAAGCGUUAUCCGCGCUGGACCGUGUACAAGUCUCCUGGAAUGGAGCGUCAUAGAGGGUGAGAAUCCCGUCUUUGACACGGACUGCCAGGGCUUUGUGAUGCGCUCUCAAAGAGUCGAGUUGUUUGGGAAUGCAGCUCAAAAUGGGUGGUAAAUUCCAUCUAAAGCUAAAUAUUGGCGAGAGACCGAUAGCGAACAAGUACCGUGAGGGAAAGAUGAAAAGAACUUUGGAAAGAGAGUUAAACAGUACGUGAAAUUGCUGAAAGGGAAACGCUUGAAGUCAGUCGCGUUAGCCAGGGAUCAACCUUGCUUUUGCUUGGUGUACUUUCUGGUUGACGGGUCAGCAUCAAUUUUGACUAUUGGAAAAAGAUCAGGGGAAUGUGGCAUCUUCGGAUGUGUUAUAACCCUUGGUUGCAUACAAUGGUUGGGAUUGAGGAACUCAGCACGCCGCAAGGCCGGGUUUUUAACCACGUACGUGCUUAGGAUGCUGGCAUAAUGGCUUUAAUCGACCCGUCUUGAAACACGGACCAAGGAGUCUAACAUGCCUGCGAGUGUUUGGGUGGAAAACCCGAGCGCGUAAUGAAAGUGAAAGUUGAGAUCCCUGUCGUGGGGAGCAUCGACGCCCGGACCAGACCUUUUGUGACGGUUCCGCGGUAGAGCAUGUAUGUUGGGACCCGAAAGAUGGUGAACUAUGCCUGAAUAGGGUGAAGCCAGAGGAAACUCUGGUGGAGGCUCGUAGCGAUUCUGACGUGCAAAUCGAUCGUCAAAUUUGGGUAUAGGGGCGAAAGACUAAUCGAACCAUCUAGUAGCUGGUUCCUGCC